GAGUUUAUUAGCAGCAUUGUUUUUGCACACGCGCUACUGCUAAGUAGCAGCAGCGCCUCCUUUUAAAAAGCGCUACUGGUACGCUUCUGUGUAUAAGGCUUUCCCUAGUAGUGUACCCAGGUCCGGGCCGCUUGCUGCGUAAAACCCAACUCCUGCUUGAUUUGUAUAGGGUGCUUACUGUAGGGUUAUUUCCUACAGUAAUCUAGCUGGUGAUUAAAGAGUCUAACUCCAAAAGGUCCAACCCCUAAAAAUGAGCCUUGGGCCUCCUUUUAUAGGCAAAGGGGUCACCAACAGUGUGCUCAUGGGGUGUAUAGUGAACAGGGUUCACCACUUAUCUUUCUACUGUGGUGUCAGGGGGCAGUAAAUGCCUUGUCUCCCCCUGACCUGCAACAAGGUGGC
rnacentral:lncRNA from 1 species